rnacentral:lncRNA from 1 species
AUUUUAAUACAUGCUAACUUAUGUGAUUUUUAAUUUUGAACCGCUUUUAUUAUUAUUAUUAUUAUUUAAAGAGAAUUGCAACAUCGUGAAAACGCGUCUUGAACCAUGUCACAUCAAUGCACCCGUAGUUGUUGACACAUUUCGACUUCGUUGAGAUUUGGAUUUGGGUCACAUAAAUGCGCACCUGAUUUUAGGAAGAUAAAUUAUUAAUAAGCGCGCCUAAAGUGACUAGCGCGUUAUUAUCUUUGAGGAAGGCCGUGAAAUUCGCUAAACGGUCUAUCCCAAAUUCUAAGUAUUUUUUAUAUAUAUUUAUCGAGGACCCCACAAUUUGUGUGUUUCAUUUGGCGAGGCUUAUCUCAUUUUAUUAAAGGUCAAUCCUAACGCAGUCUAUUAUAUUAUUAGUCUCUAAUAAUAGUCUCACUUAAUUAACUUGUCAACAUAUCAAUGCUAGGAUAUUCAAACUAGUUCUGAAUUUAAAUUAAAAGCACUCUGCCUAAUGCUUUGGGCCCUGAAAUUGGCCCUGAACGAUUUUAGUUGAUGUCCAGGAGAAGAAAGGCAACCCCAAACGUGGGCCUGAUGCAGAUAGCAAAUGACCCAAGCAGUUGUACCUAUUCUCUGCCAAUAGUGGCCAUUCUAAUUCCAAAUUUUAGAUUUCAAUUGUAUUUAAACUGAACAUCACUCUAUAAUUUAAAAGCUCUUAAUGAAGUUGAACCUCUAGAUUAUUUUUCACGAUGACAGGAAUCACUCAUUUGAUGUUAAUGCAGCCGUGCAAUUGUAAACACUAUUCCUAACUAACAAUUAGUUUAUUUAAAAAAAAACAUUAGAAUAGCAAAAUGAACUUGAUUUAAAUUAUGACUAUGCAAUAGUCCCUACAAUCUAAGUUAGACAGAAUAUUAAACAAAUGAACAUUGUGGCUAAAACUAUUGAAAUAGUGCAACAUAAUACUCUGAUUCUCAAAUUUUAAGAUAACAUUUGAUAAUCGUGAUUUUCAGACUCAAGUUAAUGCCAGAAAUCUCACACACACACAAUCCUAAUAACUCAAAUGUACAAGCACAAACGCCUAGUAAUUCAUUUGUCCAAAUCAAACUUAAGCAGUUCUAAUUAUACAGGCCCUAUAUCCAUUGUUCAUGUAGCACAAAACUAAAACUAAACGAAUAAAUCCAACAUUCUAUUUAACUACGAACAACAGAAGGUAAUCCACUUACGUAAAUUUGAUGAACAUUUAUUCCAACUCCAGCUCAAGAUUACAAGGAUGUGAGUUCAAAGUCGUGUACCUGGAAGUGGAAAACAAUGAAGAAGAACAAGAGAAGAUCAGCAGCGAGUAACAAACAGCUACUACCCAGUAGUCAUAAACAGCAACCGAAACAACAGUUGAUCUCAGCCAAAAAAUAACUCAAUUAUCCAAAAACUGAAUAUCAGUUUCUAGACAAUACCAAAAGUCCAGAAAUGAACACAAAAGGUCAAUACUUGACAGAUGAAUCACAGUUGGCUCAAGUUAGCCAAAUCCAUUACUUAGAAGACUCGAACUGCUUUAAAAUACCAAUUAUCGAACAGAACAGGGAGAUUCAAACAGCUUUUAUCCUAAAUGAGCUAGAAACUACGUGUAAUGAUGGAAAUCCAAUGUAAUAGUUCUUUUUUUAUUUUCUGCUAUAUUUUCUUUUGUUUUUGAUUUUUUCUUUUGAAAAUGCUAAGAUCUGAGGAGAUUUUGAUAUGAAAUUUUUAAUUUCAUAUCUAUUUAGCUUGAAGAUAUAUUGGGGGAAUUUGAGGG